rnacentral:rRNA from 1 species
AGUGAACGCCGGCGGUAGGCCUAACACAUGCAAGUCGAACGGCAGCACAGUAAGAGCUUGCUCUUACGGGUGGCGAGUGGCGGACGGGUGAGGAAUACAUCGGAAUCUACUUUUUCGUGGGGGAUAACGUAGGGAAACUUACGCUAAUACCGCAUACGACCUACGGGUGAAAGCAGGGGAUCUUCGGACCUUGCGCGAUUGAAUGAGCCGAUGUCGGAUUAGCUAGUUGGCGGGGUAAAGGCCCACCAAGGCGACGAUCCGUAGCUGGUCUGAGAGGACGAUCAGCCACACUGGAACUGAGACACGGUCCAGACUCCUACGGGAGGCAGCAGUGGGGAAUAUUGGACAAUGGGCGCAAGCCUGAUCCAGCCAUACCGCGUGGGUGAAGAAGGCCUUCGGGUUGUAAAGCCCUUUUGUUGGGAAAGAAAAGCAGCAGGUUAAUACCCCGCUGUUCUGACGGUACCCAAAGAAUAAGCACCGGCUAACUUCGUG